CCGCUCCACCCCGGCCGCCGCUUCCUGCGCCGCCCGGCCGACCGGCCGCCCGGGCCGCCACCUGCCCUGCGCGCCGCUCGCGUCGCAAGUCGGCGGCCCCGGAGCGCCGGCUUCCCGAGCGCCUCGUAGCGCUCGGUGAGAAAAGUAAGUUCACAGGCCCCGGCGCCAGCCACGGACCGGACAGCCGGCCGUUGAGGCGCCGGACAGCCCCGGCGGCGCAGGUUGACCAGCCGCUCCCCGAGCACGCUCCGCGCAAAGUGCCUUCUGGUUUUGGGAAACCCAGCAGCGACGCGCGAACCAACCAGUGAACCUGGCGUUUACGCUUCGGCCACUCCUUGAUCCUCCAUUUAGGGAUGCGGUCCAGGGACAGACGCUGAGAAGAAAUAACAGCGUGGAAGCCAAGUCCUUCAUCCUGUUGGCUCUCUGACAUCACGCUUGCCACCACCUACGGUUCUGUGAAGUCUGGCUGUGGAUGUGGUGGCUCAGGCCAGGAACCCCAGCACACCGGAGGUGGUAACAAGAGGCUUAGGACUCAAAGUCAUCCUCCACCUCAUAGCAAGUGAGAUGGUAUCUCAGAAAAGCAAAGAAGAGCUGGCGUGAGACUCAGCGGCUGUUGAGAAGUAAGCCAGGCUCCCCCACACAUCUGCCACGAGGUACUUGCUGCUGUAGGCCAAAACCUGGAGGACCAAGUGAAUGCAACCUCUAAGACUUCCUGUAGUGACCUGAUUUCCUCAGACAUUUCAUCACAGUAAUAGAAAGCUGCUCUCCACACUCAAGGCUGGGCCUCGUUCCUCCCAUGAAGUGUACGUUCCGUGAAGACGGUGUAUGUGUGCUACUCACCAAGAUGCUGGGUCUCUGCACUGAGCCUGAAACUCACAAGCUGGGUCACCGGCACCUAAGUGAGGAGAUACUUCUAAUCUCAUGGUGGCUUUUGGGGACCUCACCCCAUCGUGGAUUGAAGUUCGUCUGUGCCACAAACUGAGUCACUUAAGCAACAGAUAUCAACUUCCCUCAAAUUCACACAGCAGGGUCUGGAGAAGAUUAAUGCCAACAGGCUGAAGAGACUCUAUGUCAGGCUCUUCUCAGCCUUGGUGUGAAAAGACACCAUGGGUUUCCAUGGCUAUGAAGAGACACCAUGACCAAGGCAACUCCUAUAAACCAAAACAUUUAACUGGGGCUGGCUUACAUUUCAGAGGUUUAGUCCAUUAUCAUCAUGGUGGAAAGCAUGGCAGCGUGCAGGCAGACAUGGUGCUAGAGAAGGAGCUGAGAGUUCCACAUCUUGAGCCACAAGCAGCAGAAAGAGACUGUCGAACUGGGCUUAACUUGAGCAUAGGAGACAUCAAAGCCCACCCCCAGAGGAACAUCUCCUCCCACAAGGCCACACCUCCUGAUAGUGCUCCCCCUAUGGCCAAGCAUUCAAACACAUGAGUCUAUGGGAGCCAUCCUGGUCAAACUACACUUGGGUAAUCUUCCAUGUUUGUGGCCACCUUCUGUGUUUCUCCACAUGACUGCCCCACUUCGUGUGUCUGCAUCCUGCUUCGUGUUAGGACACCAGUCACGCUUGUUCAGGGCCUGCCCUGACGGCUUCGCUUCAGUUUGACUGCAGCUACACAGGUCCUAUCUGUAAAUAAGAUAUUAUUUUAAGUAUUGGGGGGUAGGGUGCCAAUGUAUGCACUUGGAAGAGCACAGGCCCACCCAUCAUGAGGGCACAUGGAACAAGUCUUGUCCAUUGUCUGUUUUAUAUGUCAUAUGGGCUAAGAACUAUAUUAAUAUUCCUAAGCUAUUGGGAGAAGAAAAUCAAAAGCAGGAAAGCAUUUCGUGACCCAUGGACAGGGUGUGCAAUCCUAUUGCAUUGCCUGUGAAGCAAGCUGUAAUUGGAACACAGCCAUGCACAUUCAAUUCCAUAGCUCCAGUGGCUGCCUUCUCUCUACAGCAGAGUAACUGCAACACAUUCCAUAUGGCCCAUAAAAGUCUAAAUGUUUGUUAUCUGUCCAUUAUAGAAUAGAAUUGUCAGCCUCUGCUCCAGAGCAAGGACAGCAGGAAAAACUCUGAAUGGAAAGGAGAAUCAUUGAGUAGCAGGAUCAACACUGUGGCAAGGGAGACAGGAACAGGAAGGGGAUCAAGGACUCUAUCCCCUUCCCUGACCUGCUUUACCACAGAGCCCAGGAAAUGCCCAGUAACUGAACUUGUGUUUAAUGUACAAAUGCUUAGCCUACAAGUUUGAAAAAAAUCUUUUUCCCCUGUGAAAAACACUAUACUGAUGAAAUGAGACUCACACAGAAGCCAAAUUCAGGCUUAUCCGCCAGGAGCACCACUCCAAGACCUUGAAAAAUGAGAGCAGUCAGCCUUCAAGGGCAGGGUGGGGCCUUGUGUCAGCCAAACCCAAGGUUCCUUUUUGCUAGGAUUUGGAUAUACCCCACAAAAGCUCAUUGCUGGGGACUUAAUCCCAAAAGUAUUUGCUGAUGGUAUUUCGGGGUGAGGCCUUUGGAAACUGAUUAGGGCUAGAUAAGGAAAUGGGGGCAAAGUCCCUUGAUGGGCUUAAUGAGAAGAAGGGAAUCCUGGAUCUAGGGGAACUCAUUUGUUUUCUAUUGCUGUGCUGACCAAAAGCCACUGGGGGAGGAAAAGGUUUCCUCUGUCAUACAGCUAACCCUCCAUUAUGAAGGGAAAUGAGGGCAGGAACUCAAGCCAGGCACUGAGGCAGAAGGCAUGGGGGAACAUUGCUCACUGGCUGGCCUUCCAUGGCUCACUCAGGGCCCUGCCCUCAGGGGUGGCACUGCACAGUGGACUGGGCCCUCCUACAUCAAUCAUUAAUCUAGAAAAUGCCCCACAAGGCUGGAGAGGUCGCUUAUUCUCUUGCAGAGAAUCCAGGUUCUGUUCCCAGCACCCACAUAAUGGCUCAUGAUCACUGAACUACGGUCCCAGGGGAUCAGAUGUCCUCUUCUGGCCCUUGCUGGCACCAGACAUACUUGCAGGUAAAGCAUCCAUACAUAUUAAACAAAUAAAACUUAAAAAAAAAAAAAAAACUGGGUCAUGGUUGCAAAUGCCUUUAAUCCCAAGAGGCAGAAUCAGAUGGAUCUCUGAGUUCGAGGCCAGCCUGGUCUGAGUUCCAGGACAGCCAGGGCUACAAAGAAAAACGUCUCGAAAAACAACAAGAAAAUGUCUUCACAGACUUGCCUACAGGCUAAUGUAGGCAAUUCCUCAAUUCAUGUUUUUUGUUUUGUUUCCUCCAGCUGCCUCUAGCUUGUGUCAAGUACAACAGGCUACUGUAAUUCCCCUUAACCACGAUGGAUCCAGUAGGCUACAGCAAUUCCCUUUCACCAUGACAGGUUCAACAAGAGACCCUAGACAGACACUGUUCCUUUGAUUUUGGAUUUUUAAGACUGCUGUGAAAAAUAAAUUCUAUAAAUUA